CGCGGCAAGACGGAAAGACCCCGUGAACCUUUACUAUAGCUUGACACUGAACAUUGAGCCUUGAUGUGUAGGAUAGGUGGGAGGCUUUGAAGUGUGGACGCCAGUCUGCAUGGAGCCGACCUUGAAAUACCACCCUUUAAUGUUUGAUGUUCUAACGUGGACCCGUAAUCCGGGUUGCGGACAGUGUCUGGUGGGUAGUUUGACUGGGGCGGUCUCCUCCUAAAGAGUAACGGAGGAGCACGAAGGUUGGCUAAUCCUGGUCGGACAUCAGGAGGUUAGUGCAAUGGCAUAAGCCAGCUUGACUGCGAGCGUGACGGCGCGAGCAGGUGCGAAAGCAGGUCAUAGUGAUCCGGUGGUUCUGAAUGGAAGGGCCAUCGCUCAACGGAUAAAAGGUACUCCGGGGAUAACAGGCUGAUACCGCCCAAGAGUUCAUAUCGACGGCGGUGUUUGGCACCUCGAUGUCGGCUCAUCACAUCCUGGGGCUGAAGUAGGUCCCAAGGGUAUGGCUGUUCGCCAUUUAAAGUGGUACGCGAGCUGGGUUUAGAACGUCGUGAGACAGUUCGGUCCCUAUCUGCCGUGGGCGCUGGAGAACUGAGGGGGGCUGCUCCUAGUACGAGAGGACCGGAGUGGACGCAUCACUGGUGUUCGGGUUGUCAUGCCAAUGGCACUGCCCGGUAGCUAAAUGCGGAAGAGAUAAGUGCUGAAAGCAUCUAAGCACGAAACUUGCCCCGAGA
rnacentral:rRNA from 1 species